GUCUUGAGGAUGCAGGGACAAAGUGGCAUCUCGAGGGCGCGGGGAUAGCGGCAUCCAGCAAGAGAGGUCGAUGGGAAGAGAGUUGUGAAAGA